rnacentral:lncRNA from 1 species
AAAAAAGACCAUCUUGAUUUUUUUGCGAAUGACACCAAUAUUUUCAUAUCAUGUUCAAUGGAUAUUGUUGCCAUCCAAAAGUCGGACUGGCUCAGAUCAUCGAAUUGGAGCCAGGAGAAAGAGAACAAACGAUGACUAUAAGAUGCCAAUCGAGUUUUUUGAGUUGGAUACUGUUGUCGGAUCUUCGACCAAUUUUUUGAAUCAAAUCCUACAAUCAUCAAAAAUUAAAAAAUCCUAGCACUGAUGGGUUUCCUAAUGGUAGACUCUUCGAUGCCUAAAUCAGUCUCCUACA